UAUUCUUAAUUAGAUUCAACAAGCAGAGCGAAGUUGAGUGAAUUUUGUUUAUACUGAGUAAGUGGGGGUUUACUUCAGACUCUUGCAGUGUAAAAGUGGCAAUAUUAUUUCUUAGAAAAACUUGGAAUGGGUUGUAGCAACAAAAAACCUGCCUUUGGGCCUAACUAGCGGAAAAAAGGUAAUGUGCAGGUAAUAGACCAGACCUGACCUCAGGGCAAAAACAAGAAGUCAGGGACGCUUUUGACUUGUUUGAUACAGAGGGAUCCGGCACCAUUGAUGUCAAGGAAUUGAAGGUUGACAUGCGUGCAUUAGGGUUUGAACCGAAAAAAGAAGAAAUAAAGAUGAUGAUUGCUGAUGUUGAUAAUGAAGGAUCUGGAACCAGUGAUUUUAAUGACUUUUAAUCUGUGAUUACACAGAAAAUGGCUCAGCUCACCGCUACCACCCCUCCGCUGACUCGAGAGGGCGAAGACGAACACACGCUGUCCUCUGAAGCGUGUGCUGCCAGCCGACUGCUUUUUUUCACACUGCAGACUCAUCAUGCAGCCACCCAAGCGCUACAGCGUCGGAGGACAACGUAGCUCUCGGGAGCAAUACUGAAUCCGAUCAAGUAACAAUGAUAGCGGGUUUACAUGCAUUUAUAUCCAGAAUAGAAUUGUUUAUAACACACCACAAAUCCUCACGAUGCGUACAUGAAUGCUAAGUUAAGAUGCACAUUUUAUUCUGGAAACCGUAUGUGUUUGUAUUAACAGGAAAUGAUUGAAGCUGACCGGGAUGGAGAUGUGAGAUAAAUGAGCAAGUGUUUUUAAGAAUCAUGAAGAAAACAAAUCUGUAUUGAACAUAAAUUGUUUAAUAGCGAAGGGUUUUUUCUAUUUCAUUUUCUACAGUACUAUUGUAUAUUGUAAGAAGUAGGAUGUUAUGCACUGAUUUGUAUAACAUACUGUAAGAUAUAUUGAUAUUGGAUGGUACACUGAAUCUGCAUUUCAACUGUUUGUAAAAUAAAUGUAAUGUUUUUUUGCAGAAUGUACAUGCUUUUAUAAUAACUUA